rnacentral:rRNA from 1 species
UACGAAGGGGGCGAGCGUUGUUCGGAAUUACUGGGCGUAAAGGGCGCGCAGGCGGCGAGUUUUGUCAGGCGUGAAAGCCCCGGGCUCAACCUGGGAACUGCGCUUGAAACGGGCUUGCUGGAGACCGGGAGAGGAGAGUGGAAUUCCCAGUGUAGAGGUGAAAUUCGUAGAUAUUCGCAAAAACACCAGUGGCGAAGGCGGCUCACUGGCCCGAUACUGACGCUGAGGCACGAAAGCGUGGGGAGCAAACAGG